UACGGGGGGGGCAAGCGUUGUUCGGAAUUACUGGGCGUAAAGGGCGCGUAGGCGGCCUGCUCAGUCGGACGUGAAAGCCCCAGGCUUAACCUGGGAACUGCGUCCGAUACUGGCAGGCUUGGAUUCGGGAGAGGGAUGUGGAAUUCCAGGUGUAGCGGUGAAAUGCGUAGAUAUCUGGAGGAACACCGGUGGCGAAGGCGGCAUCCUGGACCGGUAUUGACGCUGAGGCGCGAAAGCUAGGGGAGCAAACGGG
rnacentral:rRNA from 1 species